UUAAAGGAAUCAUUGGGAAAACUGCAAAGGAAGCUGGGAAUAGUUACACUGUUAGUGGAAUUAUUGAGGAAGUGAAUGGACAACACUCAAGAUAAGGGAGCUGCCAGUUCGUAGGUGGACUCGGGAUUACAAAGAAUUCUUCAAGUAAUAGGGAAUGCAAGGAUCCUUUAAUUUGAGGAUUUUGACAUGAAUUGUGAUGAUGUAACAGUAGAAAUUGACGUCUUCUUGACUGAAGAUAACUUUAUUAGGGCCAAGCGAGAGGGUUUGCUGAAGAAAUUUAAACUAACCACCACAAUUAGCACAAGUAAACAUGCACCUGUUUGACUCCAAAGGCGUGAUAAAGAAUUCUGGAAGAAUUUUUUCAACUAAGACUUGUGUUUUACGAGAAAAGAAAGAAACUUCUAUUGGAGAAACGUGAAAUGGAAUUAUUGAAGUUGGAAAACAAGGUUAGGUUUAUCUUUGCGGUUGUGAAUGGAGAGAUAGUUGUGAGCAACAGGAAGAGAGCUUAACUGUUUGUUGAGCUGCAAAGAAAAGGUUUCGCUCCUUUUCCCAAGAAAACUAAAUCUGUUGAGCCCGAGGUUGCUGGUGCAAUCGAUGACACGGAAGAAACAGAAGAGAACUCCCUUGCUGUUAGCAAGAGUGGGGAACAGAUCAGUGAUUACGAGUAUCUACUGGCCAUGGCAAUUGGAACCUUGACCAUCGAUAAGGUUCAGGAGCUAUGUGCUGACAGGGAUAGGCUUAAUAAGGAGGUUGAAGAUUUGAGGAAGGAAACUCCAAAGUCUUUUUUGAUGAAAGAUCUGGAUGCUCUAGAGAAGCAACUCGACGACCUAGAAAAAAGUGAUGCUCAGUCAGAGGAACUUAGAAAGAAAUUGAGAAGCAAAGCAAAGUAAGGCUCGUAGACAUGCACCCAAGAACCCACGCAAGGAGAAUAAGAAAAAAACAACUAACGCAGAAUCAGUCACAGAAACCAUCUCAACAUCAUCUAUAUCUGCAAUGGAAACAGCAGGGAAGGCCUACUUUAGUCUUGAACGAGGUGAUGACGAUGAUGAAUAAGUGCUUGAGCUUAAAGAACGACUUGCUGCCUGUAACCUUGAAUCAUCUCCUGAGCAAUCAGCUGCCAUAGAGACUGAAGUUUUCAAAGUCCCAGCCAGGAAGAAAGAGCCUAGCAAGAGGACUGCUGCGCAGAAGAAGCCCUUGGCAACUAUUACAGAGAUAUUUUCAGAUGAUGAUGAUGAUGAUGGGAAUGAGGUGGUGGAUGAAGACUUUCAACUACAAGUUGUAGAUGCCCCAGCAAUAGGAAAAAAAGAAGGGAGAAAACCGGCUGGAAAUGCGAAGGCUGCUAAGCCCUCUGCAGCAGCAAAGAAGAGAGGUGCAGCCAACAGACGGCAGCCUCAGACGUUGGGCCAGAAACUUUUGACUGACAUGUUAAAGCCUGUUGAAAAUUCAGGGAUCUCACCAGAAAAGAAAGUGAGAAAGAUGAGGGCAUCACUCACCAUAUUCAAUAAGAAAAGUGGUUCUGUGUUGGGCAGGGUUGGCGUGGCAAAUGAAUCAACUGAACCUGAAGAAAACUCUGGUUCUGAAUCUACUUCUGGCAGUACCAAAGAAAUAGUUAAGGUUGCUCUAGCAAGAUCAAGACCUCAGAGGGUAAACCGCGCAAAGAAAAUGUAUGUGUUGAGCGACUCUGAAAGUGAAAAUGCCAGUGAUGACUCUGACUUGGAUGAAGAAGAAGAAGAGGACUAGAUUCAGUAGUUGUUCUGUAAUAUUCGAAAUGGGAAUUAAUUUCUCUCUAAGCUGCUUUAAUAAUCUGCUUACCAUCGUUCCCUAGCAUCGAUCAAAAGAUUAUUUCUUUCCUCUAGAAGUAGAAUCGAUUCAGCCCAUUACUUGGCAACUCGCACCUACACUGAUUUUUCUAAAAAACAUCCCUGUUUAUUCCUGAUAUUGAUUGUCAAAGUGGCUGAAGGGGACUAUUUUCUUUGUAAUCUUUACAGCACACGUAAAAGAAAGAAAAGAGAGAGAAAAAGAAAAAAAACAG